ensembl:lncRNA
CCCGGAAGUGACGAUUCUGUCGACCAAUCAACGGAGGGGGGGUGUAGCUAGAAUUCCAGGGUACCCUUUCAGGCGUCUGGUCUCGUUUUGGGUACCGCAACGGAGGAGUCCCUAAAAUGGGGUCGGAACGGGUACGGCAAAGUCCGGGUCACGCCCACUUUUGGCGGUGGAAACGCGAUCCGACCCGCACCUUUGCGAUCCGAUCCGUUCCGCACCCUGCAGUUGAAAUGCGCCAUAAGGGUGCAACGGAUCACAAAGCUCACGGUUCGGAUCGGGUCACGGUUUUUGAGUCACGGGUCGGAUCAUUUUCGGAUCAACAACAACAAUAAAGAUAACAAGACAAAUGUGACUUUACAUAAAAUCUUUUAACUGUGUAAAAACAAAAUAAAGUGAAAAAUUAGGUAAUAAUCCUGCUUCCUUUAAGCAUGGUCAAUAUUUAAAAAAAUUGCAAUUUGAGGCAUUAUUCCUUCUUCUUUUUAACAUGGAUAGGAUAGUAAAUAAUCCCUAACCCUGGAUUUACAAUUCAGGAUGUCUGCAUUGCCUGGGGAGUUUAGAGUCUACACUCUCCCAAGGCAAUGCAGACAUCCUUAUCUUCUUAUUUUUUAGUUUGGUAGCGAAAUACAGUUUCUGUGGUGUUUUAUUUGGCAUUUUGUAAAUCCAUUGAUUUCGGUUGGGAGACUCAUGCUCAUUGCAAGGGGGGUUGGUUGUAGUCUUUUCGCUCGGUUCUAGCCCUACUGUUGAUACGCGAAAAGACUACAACCAAACCUAAAGACAUCCGGUUCCGGUUCCGGUUUACAUUUCAAUGUGAUUUACGGAACGCCAAAUAAAACACAACAGAAACUGUGUUUCGCUACGAUACUUGAUGAUGUUGUUAAUACCGGAAUUGUCCUCUAAACAUGCGCUGAUCACGUCAACGCACAACUUUUUUUUUUAAUCAGCCGAUCCGCGGAUCACUUGCGUCCCGAACCGUGAUGGUUGAUCCGUACGGAUCACGGGAAACCCGUGAACCGUUGCACCACUACUGGAGACUUGGUCUAGGUGCUGGAGGCUGGGUCUAGGGACUUGAGGCUGGGACUAGGUGCUUGAGGCUGGGUCUAGGUGCUUGAGGCUGGGUCUAGGUGCUUGAGGCUGGGUCUAGGUGCUUGAGGCUUGGUCUAGGUGCUUGAGGCUAGGUGCUUGAGGCUAGUCCACACAGCCAGCAGUGUUCUUUGAUGGGAGAGGAGAGAGAGAGAGAGAGAGAGAGAGAGAGAGAGAGAGAGAGAGAGAGAGAGAGAGAG